UACGUAGGGGGCUAGCGUUGUCCGGAAUCACUGGGCGUAAAGGGCGCGUAGGUGGCGACCCAAGUCGAUGGUGAAAGCUCGUCGCUCAACGACGAGUCGGCCACCGAUACUGGGUUGCUCGAGCGACUGUAGAGGCAGAUGGAAUUCCGGGUGUAGCGGUGGAAUGCGUAGAGAUCCGGAAGAACACCGGUGGCGAAGGCGGCAUCCUGGACCAAUACUGACGCUGAGGAGCGAAAGCCAGGGGAGCAAACGGG
rnacentral:rRNA from 1 species